CCUACGGGAGGCAGCAGUGGGGGAUAUUGCACAAUGGGGGAAACCCUGAUGCAGCGACGCCGCGUGGGCGAAGAAGUAUUUCGGUAUGUAAAGUCCUAUCAGCAGGGAAGAAGAAAUGACGGUACCUGAGUAAGAAGCACCGGCUAAAUACGUGCCAGCAGCCGCGGUAAUACGUAUGGUGCAAGCGUUAUCCGGAUGUACUGGGUGUAAAGAGAGCGCAGGCGGCACGGCAAGCCAGAUGUGAAAGCCCGAGGCACAACCGCGGGACUGCAGUUGGAACUACCGGGCGGGAGUGCCGGAGAGGUAGGCGGAAUUCCUAGUGUAGCGGUGAAAUGCGUAGAUAUUAGGAGGAACACCAGUGGCGAAGGCGGCUUACUGGACUGUAACUGACGUUGAGGCUCGAAAGCGUGGGGAGCAAACAGGAUUAGAUACCCGAGUAGUC
rnacentral:rRNA from 1 species